UGGCUCUCCAGGUGCAUCUCACGC
rnacentral:piRNA from 1 species